rnacentral:rRNA from 1 species
AUUGAACGCUGGCGGCAGGCCUAACACAUGCAAGUCGAGCGGAUGAAGGGAGCUUGCUCCUGGAUUCAGCGGCGGACGGGUGAGUAAUGCCUAGGAAUCUGCCUGGUAGUGGGGGAUAACGUCCGGAAACGGGCGCUAAUACCGCAUACGUCCUGAGGGAGAAAGUGGGGGAUCUUCGGACCUCACGCUCUCAGAUGAGCCUAGGUCGGAUUAGCUAGUUGGUGGGGUAAAGGCCUACCAAGGCGACGAUCCGUAACUGGUCUGAGAGGAUGAUCAGUCACACUGGAACUGAGACACGGUCCAGACUCCUACGGGAGGGAGCAGGGGGGAAUAUUGGACAAUGGGCGAAAGACUGAUCCAGCCAUGCCGCGUGUGGGAAGAAGGUCUUCGGAUUGGAAAGCACGUUAAGUGGGGAGGAAGGGCAGUAAGUUAAUACCUUGCUGUUUUGACGUUACCAACAGAAUAAGCACCGGCUAACUUCGUG